rnacentral:lncRNA from 1 species
CCCCGGGGUAGGGGUAACCCCUUACCGAGGGGUAACAAAGGGGUCGGGCUAAUACACUACUGAUGGGCAACAGACAGGGUAACCCAUGUUUACAUUCACCUGCGCCUGUCUACACACGCAAACAUACAUGUCUUCACCAAUCACUUGUGAAUGCCCAAUUAUCAAGAUUGCUGCACCAAAACAUGCCUUGUUUAGAAACCUAAACCUAAGGAUAUGGCACACAGCUGCAGCCUAGAUGCAAGGAGGCGGACGAACAGGCGUACAUAGGCGGAGCAAAUUGGGGACCACGAGAAGCCGCCAGCAAAGCUAAAAAUAUUCCUAUCAAAAAAUCCAGGCACUUAUCGCUGCUGCUAAAACUUGCAGAGCAGCCAACGGGCUGCAAUGUAAGGUCGGCCAGUAGCUUAAGUGCUCCGUCUCGACCUGCUAAUUCCAG